UACGUAGGGUGCGAGCGUUAAUCGGAAUUACUGGGCGUAAAGCGUGCGCAGGCGGUUGGCAAAAUCAGCUGUGAAAGCCCCGGGCUCAACCUGGGAAUGGCGGUUGAAACUAGUCGACUCGAAUCUGGCAGAGGGGGGUGGAAUUCCACGUGUAGCAGUGAAAUGCGUAGAGAUGUGGAGGAACACCGAUGGCGAAGGCAGCCCCCUGGGCUGAGAUUGACGCUCAGGCACGAAAGCGUGGGGAGCAAACAGG
rnacentral:rRNA from 1 species